AUUUAAAUUGAGAAACGGAAACAGUGCGUCGACCGUUGGGUUGACGAGAGGGGUUGCAACCUCUUACUGCCGUGAUUUCACGUCUGAUUUGAUGCCGUCGCCCGUUUCACUACUCUUCUGCGUAAAAGAAGAUUCGUAUGCUUUCUCAACAUGGACACCAUUUUUCAUGUAAAGUCGAGGCAGCCGAACAGCCUGAAUUUGGAUGUAGUUUCGGUCUGAGCUGCAGCGUCGAUCUUUAUCUUUCUAUUUCCUUGUGCGAUGCGUAGCCAUGAUACCGUUUUCAAAUUCCCAUGGUCAGAAAUGUAUCCUUCAAGUCCUGCGUAAAACUAUAACUCAAAAAAUCUACGCCUUUAAUGAUGUCGGCCACAAUGAAAUCCUGUCCUAGAAUACAGAGUGAAUGCGAUGAAUUACAUAGUUUUGGGAUUUGACAUGUCUGACAUGAAAAAAUUUUGUGUUAUUUCUCAACUUUAACUUAACUUAAAUAAAAACCGAACUUCAAUCGUUCUAAAAGCCUAACCGCACUGAGCUGCAGAAUGAGCUUUAACGUUUCUACAGUUCGUAUUUUAAAUUGAGAAACGGAAACAGUGCGUCGACCGUUGGGUUGACGAGAGGGGUUGCAACCUCUUACUGCCGUGAUUUCACGUCUGAUUUGAUGCCGUCGCCCGUUUCACUACUCUUCUGCGUAAAAGAAGAUUCGUAUGCUUUCUCAACAUGGACACCAUUUUUCAUGUAAAGUCGAGGCAGCCGAACAGCCUGAAUUUGGAUGUAGUUUCGGUCUGAGCUGCAGCGUCGAUCUUUAUCUUUCUAUUUCCUUGUGCGAUGCGUAGCCAUGAUACCGUUUUCACAUUCCCAUGGUCAGAAAUGUAUCUUUCAAGUCCUGCGUAAAACUAUAACUCAAAAAAUCUACGCCUUUAAUGAUGUCGGCGACAAUGAAAUCCUGUCCUAGGUUCGUCUUCUAAGCUUCUUUGUAACCACGCGUCUCCACCUGUAGCUGUUUGUAGUCCUAUCUCAUUCAGAGACUCCACAUUUAUUUUAACUAAACUUCUAAAUGUUAAAUGAGAA